GCACUUCACUUUCCUCCAAUAGUCUUGGCCUAGCUAGCUUCUGGGGACUCUUUGUCAUAGCUGCGGUUGCUGCAAUUUUGACUCUCCUCAUCUUUCUGACAAAAUUCAUGCAUGAGUAUUGGCACAUCAUAAAACGAACUAAUCUUUCGUUCCGUGAAAGAGUCAGAAUCUUGGCUAGAAAGUUCGACAGAAAAGACUAUAGCUGUCAUACUUUCAAGAAGAGUGAACUAAGAGAUGCAAUGAGAGAUUCAGCACGUAUGGAUUGUUCACAAAGUCCACAUGAUAACUUGUCAAUGCUAUCUUCCCCACGAACGAAUGGACCGCCAAGUCCAAGCAUUUCUAGUUACACAGAGCAGAGUUUUCAUUUUCCAGGAGAGGUAGGAACUCCUCCUUUACAUGAAGAGAAUGUAGCAGUUAGUACUCAGGAGAGCGUCAUUGAGUUGGCUGUUGAUCUAAGUGCGGGACAUUGAUGUUUUCUCUUUUCUAGCUUUUGAUUUGUAUAUUGGUGUAGAAAUGGAUUAUGAUGGUUUUAGUAUUCGUAAGCCUCUAACAUCAUCUUACAUAGUAUUAAAUUCAUUUUUACUUCCUCCACUGUCCAAAAGAACAAAUCAGAUAAUAUUAGAUCGAUUUGAGAACAAAUCAGAUAAUAUUAGAUCGAUUUGAUCAAAGAGAAUAACCAAUGACUCUGAUCUUGGAACUGCAAUGGACAUGUUUUCCAUUAACUUCAAUAUGUCUAAGUUUUAGUUCAAUUACACACUCUCCUUCUACUACAACUACAGGUUCAACGCCUAAGCCAUAUACAGAAUCUAAUACUUUCCAACAGUAUUUCGUCAUUUAUAGCAUUAUCGUCUAUGAAGUGUCUCAGGCUACUAUGAUAGAACGUAAUUCGCAACAGGUCACAAAUAAGAACGAGUAAUUCACAUAAAAUCUCAUGUACAAGUAGUCAAUUACACAUAGUACUCAACAAAUACUAGAAAUAGAGAGGGUUCCCACUCACCUCAAGCUACAACUAUGGCACCCGAGCCUCAAACACGAUCUCCCAUGUCAUCCUGUAGAAUUUUGUUAAUCUAACAAUAACACAAGAUAAUCCAUCAAUUCGAGUCAUAGGGUACAAGUAUAAACCAAAAAAACCCAGAAUCAACCACACUUAUGCCUUAGGUUUUGAGCUCCUUCUAAAUCCUCCAGUACUAACUCAUCAUCACUCAAACAACUAAAAUACACCAAUUGAAGUGAUUCCACAAUUAAAACUCAUUUAUAAUGUUAAUCAACUCUAUUACUAGAAAUUAUAAGGCCCACCGAUUCACAACCCUAAUGCCAAUUUCUCUAUUUAAUUAUCCAAAUUCUAACUUUUAUUUGAAAAAAGAAAUACUUUUUUUGGGGUAUAUAAAUGACAAGCAAGCAACGAAGAGAGAAGGGAAAACUAAAGAAAAUGGAAAGCUUACUUACGGGUGCGUCAAUGGCGAGGAAAGCGUAUGGCAGAAGGCAAAUUUUGUUUGCCUGUGUAUGAAUUUCGUCGGCAACUCUUAACCCCUCUACCCUUUCUUUAGCUUUUCAUUUUUGUUUGAAAUUUCCUUCCCG
rnacentral:lncRNA from 1 species